UGAGGAAAACUGUUCAAUUCU
rnacentral:piRNA from 1 species